AGGGGGCAGAGGGGAGAGGGGGCCGUGGGGACAGGGUGGGACCAGCUCGAAUUUGCAGAGCAGCCAGCUCUCCUCCCUGCUCCGAUGACAAGGUACUUAAUUUAAAGCCUCACCUACAGAACGUUCUCCAGGAUGCCCUUAGGAAGGCCUGCAUCCUGGAAUCCACUUAUAGCACCGUUCGCUGAGAGGCUGUCAACCCUGCUGCCAGCCAAAUGCAUCCAGACAGCCCUGUUUCCCGAGACCAGUGGUGAGUCAUCGGGCAGAAAGCACCGGGGCCUCCAGGAACUUCGGUCUGCAAAUAAGGACACUCACAGGACGGCUAUCUGUAGAAACAAGCUGUUUCAUUUCAUUAAAAAUGCACUGAAAACAGAAACGACUCCAUUAAUUACCCUCUUAUCGAGACUGUCAAAGAAAUCCGGGUGCCGGGAUUUGCUGAUAGCAACGGCUCCCAUCUUACCCCAAACAGGCGGAACUGUGAAGGCGGGAGCUGCCUCCUGGGAGGAAGGACCAAACCCUCGAAAGAGGACCCUGCAGUCUACCCUGUGGCCGCUGCUGGAAGGCAGAGUGAGGGUGAAGUCCAAUCCUGACCAGACCCAGCUGUAA
rnacentral:lncRNA from 1 species